UUGCACAAUGGGCGAAAGCCUGAUGCAGCGACGCCGCGUGAGGGAUGACGGCCUUCAGGUUGUAAACCUCUUUCAGCAGGGAAGAAGCGAAAGUGACGGUACCUGCAGAAGAAGCACCGGCUAACUACGUGCCAGCAGCCGCGGUAAUACGUAGGGUGCGAGCGUUGUCCGGAAUUAUUGGGCGUAAAGAGCUUGUAGGCGG
rnacentral:rRNA from 1 species